CACUGAAAGGUCCAGCCUCCAAAAUCCCCCAGAACAGGAGGUCAUGGUAUAAAAAAAAUCAUCCUCACUUGGCUGGUCCCUCUCCUUCUCUGGCCAGCCCAGGACCUCCGCCUCCCCCAUCGACAGCCUGGAAUGGAGGCAUCGCACAGGCCUCUGACACACAUCUGGUCUCAAGUCUGCCUUGGAAAGGCAAGUUCUGGAAAAGGAGGUGGAACAGCAUGUUGGGGCCAUCCAAGGCCAUUCUGGGGCCAGCCAAAAGGCAGGCUGCAAUUUGGAGCCCUGGCUUAAUCAAAUCCUCACUAACCCAUUCCACUAAUUCAGAAUCUGUCAGUUUUGACAUUGGCUACGCUCAAGUUGCUAUUAUAGAGUCCAUGAAAUAAAGAGUUUCUUAAGCCAAUGAAUAGA
rnacentral:lncRNA from 1 species